AUCUUUGACUGCGCAAGUGAAGAAGAAGAGCUCCGCCCACAUUAACCCGAUAAAAGAAAACGCUGGAGACGGUUUUAAAAGAUGAUUUACAUCCUCUCUGACACGAACUUCUGUCAAAUGAAGCAACAAAUAUUGCAUUGGAGAGAAUCUACUUCCUGUUUUAUGGAGUUAUUAUGCCUCACAAACCAAAGACAUGUGUAAGCUAUUCAUUACACGGGAACACUUUGCCAAACAUGCGCCUGCGGCUUCACAACAAAGAAACCUUCAUUUGCAAGUAAAUGGACGU